GCCCACGGGAAGUGACGCACGCUGCCACGAGGUCAGCGUCCUCCGCACGAGCGCGGCCCUCGCUACAAAGGACUCGCCCCUCUGCCGCCGACUCUCUCGAAUCUGUCUCAUCUCUCUUGACUCGGCUGCCCUGGUCCUUAAUCGCUGCGCCCCAGCUCCCUCGCGCUGGAGCCUAGACCUGGCCCGGGCUCGCGUAGUGCGGCCUGCGCGUCGCCCGGACUCGACCUCCCCCCCGGGGUGACGCACUUCCGGCGCGACGGAGCCGCGGAGACGGCAGGCCCUCCCGACCCGCAGCGGUGCCGGCGCAGGAAGAAUGGCGAGCUCCUUCCCCCGGCGCCGCGGCGGGGCGGAAAGAAAGCCGACCUGCUGGCUUCCCGACCUUUUGAGCCAAGAGACCUCUUCCACAAGCUUCCUCAGGGCCAGGUUCUCGAGCGACACUCUGAAGGUGGCGUUUUUAAUCAGCAGGUGGGCGCCGAGGAAGCAGGCCUGUGGCGGCCAACGGUAGGAAACCUCCGGCCGCGACCGGCGGGUCCUGGCGGCCGCUGCGCGCCCCUCGAGCCCGGCCUGCCUGGCCUCGUUUCGCACAGAGCUCUCCAGCCCCAAGUUACCGUCCCCGAGCCUCGCUUGAGCCGAGCUUGGCCGUCUGCUCACGCCAGUGCCUGUGCAUUGCUGAGAACCCAGCUCCAGCCUGGGGACCUGGACCAAGAAAUUUCAGUCUUUGCAUGGUUGGAGGCAUGAUAGAACGGCCUGGCCAGAAGAAAACUGCUCAUCUCAUGGCAGAUAGGAAGCAAGAGAGAAGAAAAGGAGGAGCUGGGGAGGGAGAUACACCCUUCUAGAUCAUACCGCCAGGACCUACCUCUUCCAAUCAGACCCCACCUUGCAAUAGCAAGUCACCCAUAUAUCUCCAUAUUCCAAUCCCCUUCCAAACACCUGAAGCCUUGAGGAUCAUUUUAGAUCUAAACUCUUACAGUACCCAAGGCCUGAAUUGUAGUAGUUCACAUGUCAGAGGAAAAGGGUUCAGCCUGAGGUAGAAGUGACAGAGAUGGAGACAGAAGGAGAAAUUUGAGGUAUAUUUUGCAGAUAGAAAUGACACUCCUCAUAAGCAUGUGGGAGAGGAAAAUGUUUUUGUCUCCCCUUUCAGGCAUAUUGGAAGUUACAUUUCCAUUCUCUACAUACCUCCCCCACACACCUGUAUGUUACUGGGAAUUAAACCCAGGGUCUUCAUACUGAGCUACAUUUUCACACCAUUUUAUUUUUUAUUUUAUUUUUUAUUUUAUUUUAUUUUUCAGACAGUAGAUGGAGUGAUUGAUCAGGGUUUAAUGAUUUUUGGAUCUCCUUUUCCUUGGAGGUGAGGUGGGGACACAUAAUAGGUUGAUAGAGAUAUUUCCCAUCUUCAAAAACCUUACUGAAAAUGAAACCAGAAAAUUCAUUUAAAGUUAUGAAAAAUACAUUGACUGACCUUUGAAGUUCAAGUAAGCCCAAAAUGAGCAGGAUAAUUAAGACAAGUGAAAAGGCUAAGAAAAUAUAUGAAGCUUGACUAAUAAGCAUGUUUAAAAUAAAUAAUGUAUUUUCAUGAGUUAUUGAUGAUCUUAUAAUUCACGAUUGCUGAGAAAUUAACAAAAGAUGAUUUAUAAAAGGUCAUCAAGAGCAUGUAAGAAGGCGACAGCUCAUUGCUUACCUUCUAAUUAGAGAUGUAGAAAGAAGAUAAGCAGAGGGAAAAAAGGGAGAAGGUAUACUAGAAAAGGGUAUAGACUCAUUUAAUAAUGACCCCACCCCUCAAGUUUUUAUCCUUCCAGCCAAUCAAAAAGUAAUGUACUGGGCCGGGGAUUUAGCUCAGUGGUGCUGCUGCCUGCCUCGCAAGCACAAGGUCCUGAGUUCAAUCCCCAGUGCCAAAAAAAAAAGUGAUGUACUAUAUAGGAAGUAAGAUCUUUGCAGAUGUAGUGAAUUGAGGCCAUACCAGAUUAGGGUGGGUCCUAAAUCUAGUAUUACUUGUGUUCUUACAAGAAGAGGGGGAAAAAAAAGAAAGAAGAGGGGAGAACACUGAGAUACUCGGAGACACACAGGGAAGAAACCCAUAUGACAAGAGGCAGAGGUGGAGUCAUAGAGCUUCAAGCCCAGAAGCCAGUUGCCAGCAGCCACCAGAAACUAAGAUACCCGUGAACCUUGUUCUUCCCAGAGCCUCAGAGCAAGCUCUGCCUCCCUGGCACCUUGACCCUAGCCUCUGGAAGAGGCCUGCUGUAGCACAUGUUUUGGCCACCACAGGCCCAAAGCAACAGGCCCAAAUGGCUGUGGAUGGAAACCUCCAAGAUGAGAUUGGAUCCAACACAUGGAGAACACCUUACCAGACCAUGUCCGCACCACAGCACCAGGUGUAAGAACAAUCUAUAUAGACUAUCUGACUCCACUCUCUCGCAUUAUUAUCAUUAUUAUCCCAUUGUGUAAAUAAGAAAACUGAA
ensembl:lncRNA